AGGCGACUCUCUGGUCUGUAACUGACGCUGAGGCGCGAAAGCGUGGGGACGCGAACAGGAUUAGAUACCCUGGUAGUCCACGCCGUAAACGAUGAGUGCUAAGUGUUAGAGGGUUUCCGCCCUUUAGUGCUGCAGCAAACGCAUUAAGCACUCCGCCUGGGGAGUACGGUCGCAAGACUGAAACUCAAAGGAAUUGACGGGGGCCCGCACAAGCGGUGGAGCAUGUGGUUUAAUUCGAAGCAACGCGAAGAACCUUACCAGGUCUUGACAUCCUCUGACAACCCUAGAGAUAGGGCUUCCCCUUCGGGGGCAGAGUGACAGGUGGUGCAUGGUUGUCGUCAGCUCGUGUCGUGAGAUGUUGGGUUAAGUCCCGCAACGAGCGCAACCCUUGAUCUUAGUUGCCAGCAUUCAGUUGGGCACUCUAAGGUGACUGCCGGUGACAAACCGGAGGAAGGUGGGGAUGACGUCAAAUCAUCAUGCCCCUUAUGACCUGGGCUACACACGUGCUACAAUGGGCAGAACAAAGGGCAGCGAAGCCGCGAGGCUAAGCCAAUCCCACAAAUCUGUUCUCAGUUCGGAUCGCAGUCU
rnacentral:rRNA from 1 species